rnacentral:rRNA from 1 species
GACGAACGCUGGCGGCGCGCUUAACACAUGCAAGUCGAACGGAAAGGCCUGCUUUCCCUUGUGGAUUGCGGGUACUCGAGUGGCGAACGGGUGAGUAACACGUGAGUGAUCUGCCCCCAACUUGGGUAUAAGCCUGGGAAACUGGGUCUAAUUCCCGAUAGGACUGCAGGGUGGUGCCUGUGGUGGAAAACGAUUUUCUAGUGGUUGGGGAUGAGCUCGCGGCCUAUCAGCUUGUUGGUGGGGUAAUGGCCUACCAAGGCGGCGACGGGUAGCCGGCCUGGGAGGGUGGACGGCCGCAUUGGGACUGGGAUACGGCCCCGACUCCUACGGGAGGCAGCCGUGGGGAAUAUUGGACAAUGGGCGGAAGCCUGAUGCAGCGACGCCGCGUGGGGGAUGACGGCCUUCGGGUUGUAAACUCCUUUCGACCGCGAGGAAGCCACCUGGUUGGAAGGGUGGUGACGGUAGUGGUAGAAGAAGCACCGGCUAACUACGUG